rnacentral:rRNA from 1 species
CCUACGGGAGGCAGCAGUGGGGAAUAUUGGGCAAUGGAGGCAACUCUUACCCAGCAAUGCCGCGUGAAUGAAGAAGGUCUUCGGAUUGUAAAGUUCUUUAAUUGGGGACGAAAAAAAUGACGGUACCCAAGGAAUAAGCCCCGGCUAACUACGGGCCAGCAGCCGCGGUAAUACGGGGGGGGCAGGCGUUGUUCGGAAGGACUGGGGGUAAAGGGGUGGUGGGCGGUGUAGCAAGUUAGAAGUGAAAUACCUAGAGCUUAACUCAGGUGCUGCUUUUAAAACUGCUAGACUUGAGUGCAGUAGAGGAAAGUGGAAUUCCUAGUGUAGCGGUGGAAUGCGUAGAUAUUAGGAGGAACAUCAGUGGCGAAGGCGACUUUCUGGACUGUAACUGACGCUGAGGCACGAAAGUGUGGGGAGCAAACAGGAUUAGAUACCCUUGUAGUC